UACGUAGGGUGCGAGCGUUGUCCGGAAUUAUUGGGCGUAAAGAGCUUGUAGGCGGUCUGUCGCGUCUGCUGUGAAAAUCCGGGGCUCAACCCCGGACUUGCAGUGGGUACGGGCAGACUAGAGUGUGGUAGGGGGAGACUGGAAUUCCUGGUGUAGCGGUGAAAUGCGCAGAUAUCAGGAGGAACACCGAUGGCGAAGGCAGGUCUCUGGGC
rnacentral:rRNA from 1 species